UCUUCCCCACUGGAUCCUUUCGGAAUGAAUAGCAAAGGAUCAUGAGGACAAGACUACUUUUCAGGCUUAUCCACCAGUAUAUCCUCUUCAUUCAUCAAGCUGCUUCAGAGGACUGGACUGCAUUUCUGUUAAUGUGAUCUAUGCAGACAAGAUACCACUUAA